CUAUAGUCACAGCUUUUUUAAAAAAAUGUUUUGCCUCAGUUGGUCACAAUCUUCAUUUGGACUUCACGCUUACAUCCUUCUGAUAGUGUAUCCGGUUCUGUACAUAUUUAGCUUUCUGCUUUUUCUGCGUUCAUUUAGCGCCAAUUUUCUUUCGCCACUCACUGCUCCAGAAUAGAUUCUGAAAACUAAUUCCAGAACAUUUCGCAGUCAUUAGUAACAUCAUAUGCUAUCUAGCAAGCCGAGACCUCAGUGGAUGUAUUAUAGAACCAAAUAAUUUCAUGAACUGUUU